rnacentral:rRNA from 1 species
AUUGAACGCUGGCGGCAUGCCUUACACAUGCAAGUCGAACGGCAGCACGGGUGCUUGCACCUGGUGGCGAGUGGCGAACGGGUGAGUAAUAUAUCGGAACGUACCUUAUUGUGGGGGAUAACGCAGCGAAAGCUGUGCUAAUACCGCAUAAUCCCUAAGGGGGAAAGCGGGGGACCGUAAGGCCUCGCGCAAUUAGAGCGGCCGAUACCUGAUUAGCUAGUUGGUGAGGUAAAGGCCCACCAAGGCAACGAUCAGUAGCUGGUCUGAGAGGACGAUCAGCCACACUGGGACUGAGACACGGCCCAGGCUCCUACGGGAGGCAGCAGUGGGGAAUUUUGGACAAUGGGGGCAACCCUGAUCCAGCAAUGCCGCGUGAGUGAAGAAGGCCUUCGGGUUGCAAAGCUCUUUUGUCAGGGAAGAAACAGCAGCUCUAACACAGUAUGCGAAUGACGGUACCUGAAGAAUAAGCACCGGCUAACUACGUGCCAGCAGCCGCCGCCG